CCUACGGGAGGCAGCAGUAGGGAAUCUUUCACAAUGGGCGAAAGCCUGAUGGAGCAACGCCGCGUGCAGGAUGAAGGCCUUCGGGUUGUAAACUGCUUUUAUAAGCGAGAAAUAUGAUGGUAACUUAUGAAUAAGGAUCGGCUAACUACGUGCCAGCAGCCGCGGUCAUACGUAGGAUCCGAGCAUUAUCCGGAGUGACUGGGUGUAAAGAGUUGCGUAGGUGGCAUAAUAAGUAGCUAGUGAAAUCUGGUGGCUCAACCAUUCAGACUAUUAGCUAAACUGUUAAGCUCGAGACCGUUAGGGGUAACUGGAAUUUGUAGUGUAGGAGUGAAAUCCGUAGAUAUUAGAAGGAACACCAAUAGCGUAGGCAGGUUGCUGGGACGGUUCUGACACUAAGGCACGAAAGCGUAGGGAGCAAACGGGAUUAGAUACCCGAGUAGUC
rnacentral:rRNA from 1 species